UUGGCUGAGGUUGGAUCUUGGGUGAGGUUUGGAUCUUGAAUGGUUGGGACUUGGAUCAUGGUUGGAUCUUGGAUGAGGUUCAGAUCAUGGUUGGAUCUUGGAUCACGUCUGGAUCUUGGAUGGUUGGAUUCUGGAUGAGGUUGGACCUUGGAUGAGGUUUGGAUCUUGGAUAGCUGGAUCUUGAAUGAGGUUGGAUCUCGGGUGAGGUUUGGUUCUUGGAUGAGGUUUGGAUCUUGAAUGGUUGAAAUUUGAAUCAUGGUUGGACCUUGGAUGAGGCUGCAAUUUUGGAUGGUUGGAAUUGGGAUGGUUGUAUGUUGGAUGGUUGGACCUUGGAUGAGGUUUGGACCUUGGAUGGUUGGAUUUUGGAUGAGGUUUGGACCUUGGAUGAGGUUUGGACCUUGGAUGGUUGGAUCUUGGAUGAAGUUUGGCUCUUGGAUCACGUUGGGCCCUUGGCUGAGGUUCAGAACCCUUUUUUGGCUACAAAGAUCCAAAUUUCCGGUGGGGAUGGAGCCGAACCCGCGGAUUCUCCUGGAAAUACGAGGGGACGGAACAAAACCAGACUGAUUCCGAA